GCAAGGAAUAUUGUGCAAUGGGCGAAAGCCUGACACAGCGACGCCGCGUGAAGGAUGAAGGCCUUCGGGUUGUAAACUUCUUUUCUUAGGGAAGAAUAAUGACAGUACCUAAGGAAUAAGCUACGGCCAACUACGUGCCAGCAGCCGCGGUAAUACGUAGGUAGCAAGCGUUAUCCGGAUUUACUGGGCGUAAAGAGGGCGCAGGCGGCUUCUCAAGUCGAAUGUAAAAUCUCCCAGCUCAACUGGGAAUGACCAUUCGAUACUGUUAAGCUAGAGAGCAGCAGAGGGAGGUGGAAUUCCCGGUGGAGUGGUGAAAUGCGUAGAUAUCGGGAGGAACACCAGUGGCGAAGGCGGCCUCCUGGGCUGUUUCUGACGCUGAGGCCCAAAGGCAUGGGGAGCAAACAGGAUUAGAAACCCUAGUAGUCC
rnacentral:rRNA from 1 species